rnacentral:lncRNA from 1 species
GCAACCAAAGAAGCAGAUAAGCUACAAGGGCUGUAAGAGAAGUUUUCCCAUUGCUGCUUCCCAAGAACAACAGCUCAGAAGUAUACAACCCUGCCCUGCUAUCACAGCCUGCACCCUAAGAAGUAACCAGCAGCUACACUUUCAGCCUCUCUAGUAGCAAUCCUCCCCCAGCAAGCCGGUGGAAGCAGAACCCAAAUGAAAGUACACUAUCACCCAUUGAAAAACAACAGGUUAUUAAGGGCUGGAGAAUCAAAUCUGAAAGCAAAGUGGUGGCUGAAGACAUUUUGACAGAUAUCCUUCAAGAGAGUGAAUAAGUCAUGAAGCAUGGAGAUAUGAACAAGUGAAAGACGGUUGACUCAUGGAUCAGCCUGAAUUUCAAAUAUGACACACUUCUUUUGAUAUUCUGUGUAUUAGCAUGAACUUGUUGAAAAAAAUGCAUGAAAGCCUUUGUUCCACUGCAUUUGAAAUGUACCAGAAGUAAUUCUGAGCUCCCUUACAUAGCAGUAAAAUGCCCUCAUUCUACUUAUGGAAACUCAUGCCCAAGAAAUUUGGCACAAAGACCCGAGUUGAGAAACAGCUGAUAGAUGGAUGACGUUUUAGACUGAAAAAACACUUCCUGACGAGUCUCUAUGCCAGUUUGUAUGUAUCAUCACACAGAUGUGACUAGAUGGUUUAUGAUGGGUAUGAAGCCAAAGUAAAGGGAUCUGGGAAGUGUUAUGUCCUGCCAAAUGUACAUUUGCUGUAGUUAAAAUAUGUUCUAAUGUGUCUUUUCCUUUGAUUAAUAUUUUUUAAUUAAUUUGGAGGAGAAUGCAGAAAGGGUGACUCAUAACACAAGGAGAUGGGUUCUUCCUAUCGUCUGGUGAGACAAAGAUGAAUAGUAAAUUACCUCAAGAGUGGCAGAUCAUAGUAGAGGGGGAGUGGCAGCAUGUGUGCUUGCAAAGAUGUGAGGCAGGUCACUAUGGAAGACAAAACAUGAGAAACAACUUCAGAAUCAGAAGUUUGCUGAAGUGGUCACACAUCAAACAACAGAACAAAGUACAUGGAAUCAACUGGAUCAAUGGGCCAAGGAUCCAAUGCAAAAAAUAUUCUUUAGAAAAAUUUAUUGGUAGAACCAUGAGAAAAAGAUUCAGUGGGAAGGAAGCUACUAAGGAGAAAAUAGACUGA